rnacentral:rRNA from 1 species
GGCGGCAUGCCUAACACAUGCAAGUCGAACGAGACCUUCGGGUCUAGUGGCGCACGGGUGCGUAACGCGUGGGAAUCUGCCCUCUGGUACGGAAUAACUCAGGGAAACUUGUGCUAAUACCGUAUAGUGACUUCGGUCCAAAGAUUUAUCGCCUGAGGAUGAGCCCGCGUAGGAUUAGCUUGUUGGUGAGGUAAAAGCUCAUCAAGGCGACGAUCCUUAGCUGGUCUGAGAGGAUGAUCAGCCACACUGGGACUGAGACACGGCCCAGACUCCUACGGGAGGCAGCAGUGGGGAAUAUUGGACAAUGGGCGAAAGCCUGAUCCAGCAAUGCCGCGUGAGUGAUGAAGGCCUUAGGGUUGUAAAGCUCUUUUACCCGGGAUGAUAAUGACAGUACCGGGAGAAUAAGCCCCGGCUAACUCCGUGCCAGCAGCCGCGGUAAUACGGAGGGGGCUAGCGUUGUUCGGAAUUACUGGGCGUAAAGCGCACGUAGGCGGCUUUGUAAGUUAGAGGUGAAAGCCCGGGGCUCAACUCCGGAAUUGCCUUUAAGACUGCAUCGCUAGAAUUGUGGA